AUUGAACGCUGGCGGCAGGCCUAACACAUGCAAGUCGAGCGAGCGGCGGACGGGUGAGUAAUGUCUGGGGACCUGCCCGAUAGAGGGGGAUAACUACUGGAAACGGUAGCUAAUACCGCAUACUAUCGGAUGAACCCAUAUGGGAUUAGCUAGUAGGUGGGGUAAAGGCUCACCUAGGCGACGAUCACUAGCUGGUCUGAGAGGAUGACCAGCCACACUGGAACUGAGACGCGGCCCAGACUCCUACGGGAGGCAGCAGUGGGGAAUAUUGCACAAUGGGCGCAAGCCUGAUGCAGCAAUGCCGCGUGUAUGAAGAAGGCAUUAGGGUUGUAAAGUACUUUCAGCGGGGAGGCGUUACCCGCAGAAGAAGCACCGGCUAACUCCGUGCCAGCAGCCGCGGUAAUUC
rnacentral:rRNA from 1 species